rnacentral:lncRNA from 1 species
AUUAACUUGUUCCUGGCAAUCAGCCACCAGGGCAGGAGGUGGACUUGAUUUACAAGUCCUGAUUGCCAAGAAAGUCACCCAUAAUUGCCUGUGAUCUUGCAGCUUUCUAGUUUUCAUCUUGAUCUCGUGUUCCCCUAUAAAUGGUGCUUGGAGGGGCUGGUUUUGGGUGUUUUGAGGUCUCUCUCUACAGGUUCUUUCCUUCAUAAAACACCAUUUCCAUACUUAUUGCUACUGAUGUGAUUGAACCUUUGCUGUGAUGUGAUUUUGGGUGCACAUCUCGAUCCAUGUGAAGCUGUUGGGUUUGGGGAGUUUUGGGGAGUUUUGGGGAGGAUGUUUCCUGGUGUCUGAGCAGAGAGUGGUAUCCAAUCUGUGAGACAGGAGCAGCUGUACCUGCAGGAAGAGCCUGGGGGGAGUGGGUUUUUGCUGAAGUGGAGAGGAAUAAAAGCAAGAGAAUCACGACUGAAAAGCCCAGAGAACAGGAGCUGGAGCCCUCCUUGCAGCAGGACAGGUAUUUUACCAGCUGGCAACACACGGUGGAGAUUUCUGCACUGCUCAGAAGGUCUGGUUGAAAUUUUGUGCAAGUUCAGCUCCAUGGGGCUUGGCAAUUUCACACUCUCAUCGUGGAAGAGAUUUCAAGAAAGGCUCCUCCUGUCCAGGAAGCCAUGGGCCAUUUACUGUGCAGUUUGUGCUCUCAGGUGCUUCUGUUCCUUGCUGACAUGAAUUCCUUGUGCAGUUCAGACUCGGAGCUCUUCAGUGAGUGCUGCCUGUCCCAGCCGCUACUCCAAGGGGGAAAUUGUCCUCUAGGAUUGGGUGAUGGAGGCAGGUCCUUUAGUGCUCCUGUGCACCCCAUGGGACAAGAGAUUUGAUAUUUCUAUUAAACAGAAAAAUAAUUUUUAAUGGGCAAAAUGUACAAUUCCUGUGCAACAUCCCUCCUCCUAAAGACAAGGCACUAAAAUACUGGAAUUUCCUCCAAAUGAAGAAAGUGUUGGCAGUUCCAGCUCUGUGUAAUUGUUUCCCAACUUCCAAGUACACCUACAAAAUAAUAUUGCCUGCAGCACAACAUUGGAGAUGAUU